rnacentral:tRNA from 1 species
UCCAGGGUAGCCUAGUGGACAUGGCAUCUGCCCGGUAAGCGGAAGGUCGUGGGUUCGAUUCCCGCCCCUGGAC